CAAGACCUUGCGCUCUUAGAGCGGCCGAUGUCUGAUUAGCUAGUUGGUGAGGUAAAGGCUUACCAAGGCGUCGAUCAGUAGCUGGUCUGAGAGGACGACCAGCCACACUGGGACUGAGACACGGCCCAGACUCCUACGGGAGGCAGCAGUGGGGAAUUUUGGACAAUGGGGGAAACCCUGAUCCAGCCAUGCCGCGUGAGUGAAGAAGGCCUUCGGGUUGUAAAGCUCUUUCAGCCGGAUCGAUAAGGUGGCGGCUAAUACCUGUGAUCACUGACGGUACCAGAAGAAGAAGCACCGGCUAACUACGUGCCAGCAGCCGCGGUAAUACGUAGGGUGCAAGCGUUAAUCGGAAUUACUGGGCGUAAAGCGUGCGCAGGCGGCUUUGUAAGUCAGAUGUGAAAUCCCCGGGCUUAACCUGGGGACU
rnacentral:rRNA from 1 species